rnacentral:lncRNA from 10 species
GAAAUUUAUUUCCAUGUAAUUAUUUUGCUUUCAAUUUAUGGAAACACAGACCAUGUAGCAAAAGUGCCUUAAAAAUAGCAUUGUUGUUCAAGUAGCAUUUUCUUCCAUUGUCUCUGCUAUGUCUUAGGGACACAGAUGAGGGAAACAUUGUCUCAGCCUGAAAGAGCCAUGUCUGCUUUCUUUGUCACAACUAUCUGGGGAUGCGACAUGCUACCUUCAGUGACAAUGGUUCCUUAGGGCAGUGAUUGUAUGUGUGUGUGUAAGUGCCUUUGUGUGUUUGUGUGUGUGGGAGAAUGGAAACGACCCUAGGGCAAAAUAUCAAAGUGAAGGGAAGAGUAAUUGGAGAAGAUUAAAUUUGCCAAAAGCCUCUCAGAAAAUCACUGUUAUCUGGGUUCCUUAUAGGAUUAUUAAAGAGGAGAAAAAUAGGCCUUUCAUAGAUAAGUGAAAAAACAAAUAGCAUUUGUGAAAAGAACCCAUUUUCAUUCAUAAGCAAUAUAGCCAAAUGUAUUUAAAUUAACUCUAUAUGACAAGUUUUAUCAUUAUUACUUUCUUACGAAUUUAUUUGAAUCUGAAAUAAAUGUCAGCCCUUGAUUA